AUGGCGGAAACCGAAAAGCCAGCAAUGAGUAGGUA
rfam:Porphyromonas sp. COT-108_OH1349 contig_31, whole genome shotgun sequence.